UGCAACUCUUGGCAGGCCAUCUCUGCUACUC
rnacentral:piRNA from 1 species